rnacentral:rRNA from 1 species
UACGUAGGGUGCAAGCGUUAAUCGGAAUUACUGGGCGUAAAGCGUGCGCAGGCGGUUAUGUAAGACAGAUGUGAAAUCCCCGGGCUCAACCUGGGAACUGCAUUUGUGACUGCAUAGCUAGAGUACGGUAGAGGGGGAUGGAAUUCCACGUGUAGCAGUGAAAUGCGUAGAUAUGUGGAGGAACACCGAUGGCGAAGGCAGCCCCCCUGGGCCGAUACUGACGCUCAUGCACGAAAGCGUGGGGAGCAAACAGG